UGUGGGUUGAAUCUGUGGCUGUAUCUAGAGGGCUGACUGGAAUUAUAUCAGCUGGGUGAACAGCAUUGGUAGGGAGCUGCACCGUCCAGUUGUAAGGGAAGAGAGAACAAAAGGGCAGGUUCCGGGAUGAAGGGAUGUAUGAAGUGAUGAGAGGGACCACACGCAGCAAUGGGUUCCGGGAAGAACAGCUGCCUGCAGAGCUGAAUCGGGAUGAGGUGUGGAGCAGGCUGGGCCACUGGAGGGAGCUCGCCUUCGCUGAACUCCUAGCUGCAUUGUCACCUGCGCACCUAGCUCAGGCAAUUGCACUCACGAACUCCUGACGGUUGUGAUUCCCUACACAAGACCUGUACAGCAUCAGCGUAGUAGACACUUGAUCAUGGGCAGAAGGCGUCUCACAAGCUCUCACUUCCAGAUGACAAACCAGAGAGUUGACAGCUGCCAAGGAGAAAGUCAGCUUUGUUCAAGGAAAGAAGAAUAACACAUGAUCACCCAGAACUCUGGAGGGAAAUGGUCAAACAACCUGGUGAUCCGUUGCUAUUCUACUGGGAGCCAACCUCCACCUGAAUUGCCCCCAAAUCUUGAGACUUGUUUAGGCCUCGAUCUUGGGCUUUGCCUCUCAGUGAAUAGAACUCAUCCUUAUGAGAGCGACCCCAUGGGCUUUGAAUGCUGCGCUGAUAGAAACCAUCGUUGUGCUUAUUUCAAAUUCUCCCUCUCUAGGUCCUGAGCCCUGCUUCCCAGUCAAAAGGUCUUGGGGACUUUGCUAUAGCAGGGUAUUUCACAAGGGACUUUUUAUGUAGCUGUCCAUGGGGCUUCAUUAUGAAAAUUGUCAUGUGGAAAGUUUUUACCCAAAGUUUUACUGUGUUGAUUUAAAUGCAUAAGAAAAGCAAACCACAAGGUCUUUAGCUUUGACCCAGUCUGACUGACCAAGUCCAGCUCCAUUGAGCUUUCAUUUUUCCUGACGUGAUCCCUGCAGGAACACCCCCAACCCCAACACGGCUUGUUUGUGUUGGUUGGUUUUUGGAUACAGGCUCUCUCUGUAUAGCCCUGGCUGCCCUAGAACUCACACAGUAGACCAGGCUGGCCUUGAAUGCAGAGAUCUGCCUGUCUCUACCUCCUGUGUGCUGUGCCACUAUCACCCAGCACAGCUUAGUUUUUCUUCAGUUUCCAACUCCCUAAUGAACUUCAUUUCACAGCCAGUGUUGACUUCCUUGCUUCAUUUAGCUGUCUGUGUGUUCUCAGAGCUUAUUUGGGAAUUAAUUUUUGUCCUCUUAGACUUCUUUGAAUAUAUUUAUAAUCUUUCACUUGUAUCCCUAAUCCCCAAAUUAGGAGCUGACCCUGUGGGGCUGGUAGUUUUUGGAGGGCAAAUGAUUUCUAUGAUUUCAGUGGUUGUGCAUUAAAACUUGAAUAUCUGGUGUUAGGUUAUUGUUUAAAAUAUGUCAUUUUUAUUCUUUCAAUGGAGUUGUUUGUAGCGUUUGAAAGGGAUGAGGCCGUGGUCAAGUCAAGAUAUAAUUUUCCUCUGUUAGGUUGCUAUUCCUCUCACCACACUGUGUCCCAGUACUUCCUUGAGAGUAGAGUACCGUCUACAACUACAGUAACUAUCAUCCCACUAUGAAAAUACAGUAACAGUCAAGUAACAAACAGCACUGUAGUGGUUUGAAAGAAAAUGGCCUCUGGACCACAGAGAAUGGCACUAUUAGGAGGUGUGGCCUUGUUGGAGGAAGAGUGUGCCAUUUACUUCUGCUGCCUGCCAUUCUGGAUGUAGAACUCUCUGCUUCUUCUCCAGCACCAUAUCUGCCUGCACGCUAUCAUGCUUUCUACCAUAAUGAUAAUGGACUGAACCUCUGAAAUGUAAGCCAGUUCCAGUUACAAUAUUUUCCUUUAUAAAGGUUGCCAUGGUCUUGGUUUUUCUUCAUAGCAAUAGGAAGCCUAAAUUAGACAGAAGCUGGUACCAGGAGUGGGGUAUUGCUGUGAUAGGUCUGACUAUGUUUGUUUAGAGGAAUGUGGACUUUGGAAUUUUGGACUAGAAAAGCAGGUGAACAGUUUAAAUGGGGCUUAAUGGGCCACUGUAGUAGGAAGAUGGAAGACUGUGGUGCUGAGGGUAAUGUGGACACUGGGGGCCUAGCUCCAGAUGUUUUAAAGGAGAGCAAUAUCAAUCUGUGGCCUAGAGAUUGUCCUUGUGACAUUUUGGCAAAGAAUGUGGUUGCUUUUUGCCCUGUCCAAAAAGUCUGCCUAAGGCUAAAUUAAAGAGUUUUUGGUUAAUUGCAUUAGCAGAGGAAAUCCCAAAACAGCCUAGUAUUGACUCUGUCAAGUAUUAGUAGUGUUUGCUCUUAAGAAGAUCUAUAAUGAAAAGGAGCAAGCUGGGGGGUGGGGUAUAGAAUUUGAGGAGAGGGGCUGGUGAGAUGGCUCAGUGGGUAAGAGCACCCGACUGCUCUUCCGAAGGUCCGAAGUUCAAAUCCCAGCAACCACAUGGUGGCUCACAACCAUCUGUAACAAGAUCUGACGCCCUCUUCUGGUGUGUCUGAAGACAGCUACAGUGUACUUACAUAUAAUAAAUAAAUAAAUCUUAAAAAAAAAAAAAAAAAAGGAAUUUGAGGAGAAAGGGUCCACCAGGAAAUGGCAUGAUGUUAAAUCCUGCGUUCAAGAGAUAAUUAAAGAAAAGCCUGAUGUUGAAUAGAAUAAAGGAUUUGGUGACCUGGGGCAAGACCGCCCCCCCCCCGCCCCCCCAGCUAAACUUCCAACUUAUAAAAGGGAAUUAAAGAACAGCUUUGGUCCAGGCAUGAGGGUGCACACUUUUAAUCCCAACAAUCAGAAGGCAGAUGCUGGCAGGUCUCUAAAUCCAAGGGCAUCUUGGUCUACAAAGCUCCAGAACAGACAAGCUUAAGCAGCUAAAGGAAACCAUCAAAAACAGAAUGCUAGUGAACAUGUAUUUAACAAGGGGACCAUGCUCCAGCCCAAAAUGUUGCAAGUACUAGAGUCAUGCGAUACCUGCCAAGGAUAUCUGUUAACAGGAUAUGGAACAAGCCCAAGAGAAGAAGUGUGUCACAGUCAACAAAGCUGAAAGGAGAUGGAAAUCUGAAUAAUGUUUGACACCAGACAGGGAGUUGCAGGGUUUGACAUUUGCCCUGCUGGUUUUUGGUCUUGUUUUGGUCAGUGUUUUGUCACUAUGUUUCUUUUCUCCCACUUGGAAUGACAAUAUAUAAUCUUAUACACCCCCCCCCCAAGGUCACCGAAAGCACAUCUUGCUUUUGUCUUGUUCGUUUUAAAUUUUUGCAGACUGAUGUGAAGUGGGCUUGUGCAGACCUUGUCACCACUGAGGUGGGGCCACCUGCGGUGCAGCUUUCUGACUUGGCUGGCUUUU